AUCAUUUGACCUUAAAACUAAUAUUAAUUAAUAACAAAAAUAAAACAGGACAAGUAUGGAGUCAUUUUAGUUGAUUCUAAAUUAACUCGAUAGUCUAACGUAGAUUAUUCGGUAAUCCAAAAUUAUUAUUUUAUCUUUCCUAUUUUGUUAGAUUGAAAAAACUCAAAAAAAAAAUUUUGAAAUUUUCUAGCUUCGUUCCAAACAAAAAAAUUUAGUUCUCUUAUUUAACCAACCCAAUAAUCAUUGAAUGAAC
rnacentral:lncRNA from 1 species